rnacentral:rRNA from 1 species
GAAACCCGGUGAUCUAGCCAUGGGCAGGUUGAAGGUUGGGUAACACUAACUGGAGGACCGAACCGACUAAUGUUGAAAAAUUAGCGGAUGACUUGUGGCUGGGGGUGAAAGGCCAAUCAAACCGGGAGAUAGCUGGUUCUCCCCGAAAGCUAUUUAGGUAGCGCCUCGUGAAUUCAUCUCCGGGGGUAGAGCACUGUUUCGGCAAGGGGGUCAUCCCGACUUACCAACCCGAUGCAAACUGCGAAUACCGGAGAAUGUUAUCACGGGAGACACACGGCGGGUGCUAACGUCCGUCGUGAAGAGGGAAACAACCCAGACCGCCAGCUAAGGUCCCAAAGUCAUGGUUAAGUGGGAAACGAUGUGGGAAGGCCCAGACAGCCAGGAUGUUGGCUUAGAAGCAGCCAUCAUUUAAAGAAAGCGUAAUAGCUCACUGGUCGAGUCGGCCUGCGCGGAAGAUGUAACGGGGCUAAACCAUGCACCGAAGCUGCGGCAGCGACACUAUGUGUUGUUGGGUAGGGGAGCGUUCUGUAAGCCUGUGAAGGUGGCCUGUGAGGGUUGCUGGAGGUAUCAGAAGUGCGAAUGCUGACAUAAGUAACGAUAAAGCGGGUGAAAAGCCCGCUCGCCGGAAGACCAAGGGUUCCUGUCCAACGUUAAUCGGGGCAGGGUGAGUCGACCCCUAAGGCGAGGCCGAAAGGCGUAGUCGAUGGGAAACAGGUUAAUAUUCCUGUACUUGGUGUUACUGCGAAGGGGGGACGGAGAAGGCUAUGUUGGCCGGGCGACGGUUGUCCCGGUUUAAGCGUGUAGGCUGGUUUUCCAGGCAAAUCCGGAAAACCAAGGCUGAGGCGUGAUGACGAGGCACUACGGUGCUGAAGCGACAAAUGCCCUGCUUCCAGGAAAAGCCUCUAAGCAUCAGGUAACAUCAAAUCGUACCCCAAACCGACACAGGUGGUCAGGUAGAGAAUACCAAGGCGCUUGAGAGAACUCGG